rnacentral:rRNA from 1 species
GACGAACGCUGGCGGCGUGCUUAACACAUGCAAGUCGAACGGAAAGGCCCUGCUUUUGUGGGGUGCUCGAGUGGCGAACGGGUGAGUAACACGUGAGUAACCUGCCCUUGACUUUGGGAUAACUUCAGGAAACUGGGGCUAAUACCGGAUAGGAGCUCCUGCUGCAUGGUGGGGGUUGGAAAGUUUCGGCGGUUGGGGAUGUACUCGCGGCUUAUCAGCUUGUUGGUGGGGUAGUGGCUUACCAAGGCUUUGACGGGUAGCCGGCCUGAGAGGGUGACCGGCCACAUUGGGACUGAGAGAGGGCCCAGACGCCUACGGGAGGCAGCAGUGGGGAAUAUUGCACAAUGGGCGGAAGCCUGAUGCAGCAACGCCGCGUGCGGGAUGACGGCCUUCGGGUUGUAAACCGCUUUCGCCUGUGACGAAGCGUGAGUGACGGUAAUGGGUAAAGAAGCACCGGCUAACUACGUG